UACCUACGGGACGCAGCAGUGGGGAAUAUUGCACAAUGGGCGCAAGCCUGAUGCAGCGACGCCGCGUGCGUGAUGGAGGCCUUCGGGUUGUAAACCGCUUUUGUUCAAGGGCAAGGCACGGUCUUUGGCCGUGUUGAGUGGAUUGUUCGAAUAAGCACCGGCUAACUACGUGCCAGCAGCCGCGGUAAUACGUAGGGGGCAAGAGUUAUCCGGAUUUAUUGGGCGCAAAGGGCUCGUAGGCGGUUCGUGGCGUGCGGUGUGAAAGACCAUGGAUUAAAGGGGGAGCGGCGCCGGGUAGGGGGGGG
rnacentral:rRNA from 1 species